AAAAUCAUCUCUGACGGUGUUGAGGAAAGGUGAGCAGGGGACUGGCCACCCUAUAUUAGGUUUGUAAAAUUUUAAUAUUAUUCCUUUUAAUUUGUGAAGUCAAUAUUUUCUUUUCUCUGUGCUGGGAAAGGCUGCGCCGUGGGGGCCGACUCAGGGUCCUCUCCUCGCUGGGAGGCCAUGGCCUCUUAUGUCUUAUUCACUGGCCUCCUGGCAGACUCAUAAUGAGCCCACGGACCUGCUGUGGAAUGAAGCCAAAGCUGUGAGUGUGUCUGGGUGACUUAUUCUCCUCUCCCAGUGCCAGGGAACUUUGGUCUCUCAGUCACUCAUGGAUUCAGCAGAUACUUCGGAGCAGCUGUUAUGGACCAGGUGCUCAUAGCUCUCACAUCACUAGGUACUGAGGUGAGAGCUGUGAGUAGAAUGGCAAAGUCCCCACCCUGGGGGGCUCACAUUCCAGCCAGGAGAUGCACAGGAAAUAAGGGAGCAGACAGCCCCACGGGGUGUGCUGUGAGAUGCCAGCUAUGAUGAAGCCGCUCAGGGCUGGAGCGGGUGGCUGGAGAUUAGGUGGGUCAAGGUCUUCGGGAAAACUGCAAGGCCACCUGAGCCCAGGGGACAGGUGCCUUCAGAUGAAUUAGGGGUCAGGGAGUGGGAGCAGUGGAGGAGGACCUGGGAUGUGGGAAACAGUGGGAGGAGCACAGCCUGUGGGGCUCAGGAAGGGUUUUGGGUUGCAUCUGAGUGACAGGAGAAAUGGGUUUGGAGAUAGAGUAAUGACAUGGUCAGAGCCGUGUUUUUAUAAGGAGCUUCUGAUGGUGAGCAGAGAUGGGGUCUGGGGUCAAGGACAGAAGCAGAGGGAUGAGGCACUCAGUAUCAAAGCCAGUCAAAUCAUUAGAAUGACCCUACUUGAAUUCAGUGUCUGUGAUCCUCAAUGGCUGCCCAGACUGAGCUGUGCGAGGCAGAGUGUCCCUGUUCCUUAUCUGUCCCCAUGAGUGGUCAUGGUAUUGGUGACAGCGGGAAGCAGCCAACACUUAGGGGGUACUCUUGAUGGGCUAGACCAAUGCUUCUCAACAAGGGGGAUUCUUCUCCACAGCGUACAUUCAGCAAUGUCUGGGGGCAUUGUCAUUGGCACAUUUGGGGGUUGUGCUCCUGGCAUCUAGUGGGUGCAAGCCAGGGAUGGCGCUCAGCAUCCUGCAGGGCACAAGAUGACCCCACCUCAGAGUAGUGUCUGACACAGAAAGUCCCAAGUGCUGAGGCUGAGAAAUCUUGGGCCAGAACAGGAUAAAGGCUACGUGUGCUUUGCUUCAUUUCAUCCUAGGAGAACCCUGUCAGGAAUUAUGAUUCUCAUUGUGUAGUUGGGGAAGCUGAGACAUGGAAGGCUGAGCUGUCUGACGUGACGCAGCUGGGGAGUGGCCGAGCUGGAAAUGGAGCCCAGGUCUGUCUGACUCUGGAGUCUGUGCCUUUGACUGAUGCAGAAAUUCAGAACAUCCGUGCUGAGGCGUAGCAGGGGUCCAGCAUACACGGGGGCUCAAGUGCAUAAAAAACCCUCUCUUUGUUUUGAGAUGCAAGUUCGUCAGGACCUCCAAAACAUUGCCUCCCAUCUUCCCCUCCUCCAAACUGUUCGGCGAUCCCCUUGGUUUGUUCAGCCUCCCCAGAGUCAUCAAAACAUUGACACCGCUUCCCUAUUAUUCAUCAAAAAUGCACCCUGUCACACCAGCAAGCCAGGGGUUAAGGCAUCUCAAGGUGAGGGUGGAGGAGACUGAGUUCAGCAGAGGGUGAGUGGCCCUGUGGGAGCCGUGCCCGGACAUGACAGAGGUGGGAUUCCAAAUAUGAAAAACACCUUCCUCCUGCCCCAGGCCCCUUUCUUAUGAGAAUCCAACAGGCAGCCAGUGGUCUCCAGCAUGGGGAUUCCUGGACCACGUCAUGUGGUAGGUGACCCCUGAAGGCUCACUGCACCUGCUGUAUCUAUUGGACAUGUGUGUGUGUGUUUGAGUUGAAGACUAUGUAUAGGAAUUCAAUUCAGCAGACAUGUGGAUGCUUACCACAUGCACUGCCUCCACUUGCUUUUGCCUGUGUGCACCUGCUCAUGCAACAUCUUCAUGGCAAACCCAGGGGCACAUGCACUGGGGUAGUGCAGGAUCCAACGGUGCCAUCUGCACCCAGCAGACUUUCCAGGAGAGAAGAUUGACUGAGCACUCAGCCAUCAAUGUCAGCCUGUAGUGGAAGGCUCUAGGGCAAAAUUCUUUUAUGGGCAUCGCAGAACAAGUCUUCAUUGAACACUGUGAACCAGACAAGUGGGAAGGUGGAUGAAGAGCUAAUUCACUGAAACAAGAUGAGAUGCCCGAGAAUGUUCCCUCCCCAACUCAGAAUCCUUUGCAAAACCACCAGGAUCUUGGACAAAGAGAGCUUGGAAGCAAGGAAGACAGAUACAUCAGGACGGUGCCUAGGCAGUCUGCAGCUGAUGGUCCUCUAUCCACUUCAUAAUCUUUACUGUGUGCCAGUGAACAAGAGCCCCAGGUGCCCACCCUCCUCAGAGACAGUUCUGUGCGAAGGAUAGACCAAACCAAGCAAGCAGACAAAUAAAUCACAGUAAUUGUAUGAGGAGGAAAAUCAGCAAGGAAACCAGCAGUCAGUGUGCGGAGAGCUGUUCCCCAGAUGGAGUCAAGGAAGUCUUCCUGCAGAGGUGACGUGAUUGAGACGGGAGUUGGGGAAGGUGCACUGGAAGCUGGGUGGGUCUCAGAGGGCAGCCUGGUGGUUUAUUCGGCCUGGUUGUGUGUGCCAGGCACGGCCGAGGGCACUAAAGGAAGGGUGCCUCACUGCAGAGGAGGAGGAAGCUCCAGUGCCGGCAGGCUCCUGGGAUGGAGUAAGGACAUGUGGGUGUCGGGAUGUGAUUCUGGUGAAGCAUUUGAGCCCUACCACUCCAAAACCUGAGUUCAAGAACUCACCCACUACAUAUGAGCAGUGUGGACUUGUGAAAAUUAACCUCUCUUAUCCUUGGCUUUCUUUUUGGUACAGUGGAGUUGAUGAAAAGCAUCAGCUUCAGAGGAUUGGAGGAAAGGCACGUAGAGUGCUGAUGACAGGGCCUGGCACACAGCAGGAGCUCAACCAAUGCUCAGCGCUGAGAAGGGACUCACUGUGCUUAGCAAUAUUGCUGCGGGAAAGCCAGAUUGUCCCUUCAGGAUCCAUCAAUGCCGAGGGCAAGGAGAGAAAAGCAUUUGGGAUUUUCUUUUAUGGGUCUCUUCUUUCAAUUUCAUUUUCAUGUAUCUCAAUUUUUGUUGACUGUAUUCACCACUACUUCUUGACUGUUUUUUAUGUUCUAGGCACUUUUCACAAAUAUCUAUUUAAUCCUUAGUUCUCUAUGAAUUAAAUAGCUAUUUGUGAAAUCCUAUUGGUGGAAUCCUCCCACCUUUGUGAGUGUGAAUGUGUGUGUAACUUAUGUAUCAUAGAGUUUAAGUAAACUGUUAAAUAUUACACAGCUAUUGAGUGGUGUAGCUGGGGUUUGAACCAAAAUCUACCUGGCUCCAAGUUCCUUCUCCUGACUGAUAUUAGUUUGUUGGGCAUCACGAGGUGAGGGCAUCUAAAAAGUCUUGUGUGUUUAGAUCCUUCCUGGAUUUCUCAGGGACUUGUUUCUGUUGACCAACAGGUGUUAGGAGGUAGAAGGAAAUGCAUGUAAAGUACCGGCCUGCAACUGUUGCUUCUGGCAGAAGAGCUGAGCUUCACCCAUCUCUGCCAUUAGAUAAAGGAUGUGGUUGCUAUUGCCCAAGAGACUUCUUCUUGGAAAUAAUGCCGGAAAAAAAAAAAAAAAAAAAAAAGCAAUUCCUUGCAAAUCCAGCAGUCACUAAAAACACGGAGAACUAAGUUUUUAGGAUGGUCAAAAGCCACCCACCUAGUCCAUUUUAUUUGUUUCCUGUUCAUUUCUUUUAUUUUCUUCUUCUAUCUCCAUAAUCUUUAUUUCCCCACGACAAGAUUCUCAUCUAACUCUCUAUUUAACAUACCAAUGCUUCUUGAGGACGCCGUUAUCUAUUGUUUCUUACGGUGCACAUUCAUUAGCACUUGCCAGAGAGGGGCUGUGUACUGUCAUUUCUGCGCCUGCCUUUGUUAGUUUUAGAUUAAUUCCUGCUGUGGUCAUGUUCUUUGGGAUAAUUUUAUCAAGAUUUUCUUUCUCUUGCUUUAUUACUUGCUUUCUUGGUUACUUUAUUAAAUUUUAAAAUGUCUUAUUAAGGUUACUUCUUUCAUUGUGACAAAAGUAUAACUUUUCCAACUUUGCUCUAAAAACUUGUAGAACAAACUCUUAAUAGCCGCCCCCCUCCCCAGGGACAUGGGGCAGGACUAGGGUGGGAGUGUGGUGGGGAAGAAGAGCUCUUACUUUUUAGUCUAAAUGUUUCUUUAUGGCUUCAAUUAUUUAUAACCAUCACAG
rnacentral:lncRNA from 1 species